CCCAGAUAUUCUAACAAUAUACAAUCAGGCCUGGUACCUUUCUCUCUCUAUAUAUUUAUCAUUACCACCUCUGCUGGGUCCUGGGUCAUAGAUCUACUCCCCCCGCAGCCUCCCAGCUGCCCACAUUGUGCCUCCCUGCCCCCGCUUACUAGAAAGCCUGGUUCUAAUGUAGUGCCAGUAUCUGAGUCUGUUCUUACCUCCAUGUUUGUAGAUCCAGGUAGCAAUGAGAACAUGUGCCUGAGUAUUUAUACUUUAUUUAACCCCCUUAAG